AGGAGGUCCCUUGGCUCUUCACUGUCUUGACAGUAAACAGCAAAGAACUUCCUGUCGCUAUUUCUCAGCUUUCUUCUAUUGGAUGUGCAACAGUCAUUAUAAUGAACGUCAGAUAUGGCAUGAGAUUUCAAGGAAGUUUAACUUGAGCAAUUACGAUUUCAUCCAGACUCCAGAGCCUCUGUUGUCAAGAAGGAUUCUAGAAGACCUGAUGACUGUGUUCCCACAAGCAAGAAGACUCUGAAGACAGCCAAGCCACACUACUGUGUUUUAGAAGAUUCUACAAAAAAGACAGCCUUCCUGAUGAAGUACCAGAGGCAGACUAAACAAUUUUGCCAACCCUGUGGUGUUAUUAAGAGAGCAAAACACAGAUGGCACCGGUCACCAUCCAAUGUUAGGUCACCUGGCCCCUGAGUGGACAGUUAGAGAUGGUGUUGUAUUCAUUCUAGAAUGUCAAGCCUGGUUAAGAAUGGAGGAUGAGAGAUUACAAUUUGGGGAUGUUGCAUGAGCUUCCUGAGGGGUGACGUCAGUGCUGGAAUUGAGGUUGGAGGAAGAUCAAUGGCAGUGAAGCUGGUGUCCUCUGGAAAGCUAAAAGCCAAGAGAAAGGGAGAAGACCGGUCUUCUCUGCUGGAGUCAUUAGCAGCCUCAGUCGUCUUCAGGAAAGCCCAAGUACGACGUUCUAACUAUGGUUCCAAAGGCACAGAGAUACAAUGCUCAAGGGAAACCUUUGCGAAGAGGUGCCAUUUGAACAAAAACCUGGAUGAAGUGAGGGAGUGAACAUUGCUACGCUCUGGGAGAAGAGUCUUUCAGAAGAAACAACUGCUCCAAAGGCCCCAAGAUGGACUGAGGCCAGUGAAUGCUACUCAUGAGAAGAAAUCUUAAAACAUGGAACUACUUUGGGCACCUGAUAGUCUCUGUAUUUUUGUGUUAUGGGAAACUGGACAUUUAGAAUAUCCAGUGAGUUAAAUACCUAAAAGUAAAUCAGCCCUUCCCAGCGUGAUGGAUAAAUGUUUAAUAUAAGCGAGUAGACUAGUCAUCAUAAAACCCCAAGUUCCUCUUGUCAGUUUCCAGUUAAUCACUAUCACAUGAGAGAAGUGAAGUUAAGGAAGGUCAGCUGACAGAAGUGAGUAUUGGGACAUGCCGACAACUAUACCCAUAAGACUGCUUGCUUCACUGUAACUAUCCUGGAAGCUCUGAUUUUUUUAUUUGAGUUUGUUGCAAAAGUAAAGAUAAUAUAG